rnacentral:lncRNA from 1 species
AACCAGGCAAUCACUCAUGAGAAUGCUUUAGCCAUCUUCAGACAGGGUUUGGGUUAUCAUGAUAGCACUGCGAGCUUGUAAGGUCCUUGUCUUCUCUGCAUGCUGGCUUCUCCCAUUGUGCUGUUUACUGGCUCAGCAGGAUGACAAUGUAGCUACUCCAGGGAAAUAGCUUUGAAAAAAAUAGUCCAUGGUCAUACACUGAAAGAGAACAUCUAAGUUUUAUGCAAGUCAGAUAUCGUGGUGGUGGUGGCAGCUAUGUUGUUAUAAAGUAUUUGGGUCUACAUUUCUCUGAUUGAUUACACGUAUUAUCUGUAUGAUCUUGGGCAAGGCACUUUACCCUGUUUGCCUCAGUUUUCUCAUAUGAAAAUGAGCCAGAGAAGAAAAUGGCAACCUACUCCAGUAUCUUUGCCAAGAAAACUCCAAAUGGGAUUAUGAAGAGCCAGGCAUGACUGAACAACAGCAGCAAAAAAUUUUCCAGGUUGCCUCUGGAAGAAAACUUGGGAAAUGGCACACUGAUAUAAAAAUAGUCAUCCAGGUCCAGUGGAUUAUUGAUGGAUGCAAUGAAUGACCUUGACAUCUUUGAUAUCUGAUCAACCUGUAAGCAUUCCAUAAUGCUUUCAUAGCCAUUAGGACAAGUUGUUCUCACCUACCCAUUUUGCUGGGGGAAGUUUUCACAUGUUUGGGGUAAACAUCCCCCUAAGUCACCAAGAGGUUUGAGGCUUGUCAAAACUAUCUUUCUCUCCUACAUAAAAAUGAUUCUUUCUUGACCUGGACAUUUAAGAUUCCAAACAUCAAGGUAUCAUAAGCUGGUUCAUCACCUGAUGGGUUUUUAAAAAGUUAAAUAAUAUUUAAAAAAAUAAAGAGUACCUACUUUUUUCUGUUCCUUUCCCC